rnacentral:tRNA from 1 species
GCCUCGGUGGUUGAGUGGUAGAAUUCUCGUCUGCCACGCGGGAGGCCCGGGUUCGAGUCCCGGCCGAGGCA